UUUUUUGUUGACCUUUUACGUGCCUAUCUUUAAUAUAAUUUUUUUUUAGAUUUAAAAGAGUACUGUGAGCAAAGCCCCAUCAACCAGUUGGACGUUGGACUAAUCCACUACUCUAUUUGAUAUCGGGAAAAAGUUAAGAAAGUCAUCUUACCUGCCAUGGACAUGCAAAAUUGAGCAAUCAAUUAUGGUAUUUGUAUGUUCUGUUUUUGACACGCCUAUUUUGAAGCACUAUUAAGUUGAUACACAAAGGCGCAAUCUCAGUAAAUUUACACUGACAUACUGGAAACAAAAACAUUAAAGUGAAAAAAACGCAUGUCCUACAUGGUUCUCCAUGUGAGUACUGUGUGGGAUUCAUCGGAACCAAUAUGGAGCCCAGUCUUUAUAAGGAAUACACAAUACUGCACCAUCAUCGUCAAAACAAGACUCCAAACAAACAAAAUGCUGUUAUUGUUUCUGGCAAGAAUCGUGUUUUUUUUAAGGAAGUUUUAUAUUGAAAAAAUAGUAUGUCUAUUUUAAAUAAGUUUUUUAAUUUUUUUUUGUAUUAUACUGCAUAUUAAAUAUUUAGUUUAGAACAUUAAUAUAAUAAUAUUUUGAUCCUAUACUUUUUGCCAACAUGUUUUUGUGUCGUUCUUUUAAAUAUUUCUACCUGUUUUUGAUUUCCUAACGCGGGUUUGUGUUUUUGAGGGGUCGGGUUAAAAGUUUUUAUU